UAACUGCGAGUGAAGCGGCAAAAGCUCAAAUUUGAAAUCUGGGGCCUCACAGCCUCCGAAUUGUAAUUUCGCGAUGCGUCUUUGACGGAUGGCUCUACUUUAAGUUCCUUGGAACAGGACGUCACAGAGGGUAGAGAAUCCCGUGAUAGGUAGGGCCUGAAGCAUAUAAUACGUAUUCUACGAGUCGAGUUGUUUGGGAAUGCAGCUCAAAAUGGGUGGUAAAUUUCAUCUAAAGCUAAAUAUUGGCGAGAGACCGAUAGCGCACAAGUAGAGUGAUCGAAAGAUGAAAAGCACUUUGAAAAGAGAGUUAAAAAGUACGUGAAAUUGUUGAAAGGGAAGCGCUUGAGACCAGACUCCAUCUGUGGUGAUCAGCGGUGCUUCUGUGCCGUGCACUUGCCACUUAUGGGGCCAGCAUCGGUUCUGGCGGUGGGAUAAAGUCUUGAGGAAUGUAGCUGUCCUUGGGCAGUGUUAUAGCCUCUUGAGUAAUGCCACCAGCCGGGACCGAGGACCGCGCUUUGGCUAGGAUGCUGGC
rnacentral:rRNA from 1 species